AGGGUUUGAUCUGGCUCAGAACGAACGCUGGCGGCACGCCUAACACAUGCAAGUCGAGCGCACCUUCGGGUGAGCGGCGGACGGGUUAGUAACGCGUGGGAACAUACCCUUUUCUACGGAAUAGCCUCGGGAAGCUGAGAGUAAUACCGUAUACGCCCUUCGGGGGAAAGAUUUAUCGGUGAAGGAUUGGCCCGCGUUAGAUUAGAUAGUUGGUGGGGUAACGGCCUACCAAGUCUACGAUCUAUAGCUGGUUUGAGAGGAUGAUCAGCAACACUGGGACUGAGACACGGCCCAGACUCCUACGGGAGGCAGCAGUGGGGAAUCUUAGACAAUGGGCGAAAGCCUGAUCUAGCGAUGCCGCGUGAGUGACGAAGGCCUUAGGGUCGUAAAGCUCUUUCGCCAGGGAUGAUAAUGACAGUACCUGGUAAAGAAACCCCGGCUAACUCCGUGCCAGCAGCCGCGGUAAUACGGAGGGGGUUAGCGUUGUUCGGAAUUACUGGGCGUAAAGCGUACGUAGGCGGAUUAGUCAGUCAGAGGUGAAAUCCCAGGGCUCAACCCUGGAACUGCCUUUGAUACUGCUAGUCUUGAGUUCGAGAGAGGUGAGUGGAAUUCCGAGUGUAGAGGUGAAAUUCGUAGAUAUUCGGAGGAACACCAGUGGCGAAGGCGGCUCACUGGCUCGAUACUGACGCUGAGGUACGAAAGUGUGGGGAGCAAACAGGAUUAGAUACCCUGGUAG
rnacentral:rRNA from 1 species